rnacentral:lncRNA from 1 species
GUGCACUUUCCAGCCAGCACGGAGCCAUGGGCACCUCUCAGGACAACUGGCACAAGCACUGCAAGAUGGUGUGUGUGUGUGUGUGUGUGUGUGUGUGUGUGUGUAAGAGGAAACGCUACCACAGGAAGCGGAAGUAUGAACUGGGACAGCCUGGGGCCAGCACUAACAUCGACCCUCACACAUUCCAUGUUUGAGGAGGCAAUAAGAAGUACCAUGCCCUGAGAUUGGAUGUGGGUAACUUUUCCUGGCCCCUGAGUGUUGUACUCGAAAAACAAGGAUCAUUGAUGUUGUCUACAAAGCAUCUAAUAAUGAGCUUGUCUGCACCAAGACCCUGACAAAGAACAGCAUCGUGCUUAUUGACACCACACCAUACUGGCAGCGGUUCGAGUCCCACUAUGCACUGCCCCUGGGCCAACAAAGAAGGGGGCCAAUCUGACUCCUGAGGAGGAAGAGAUUUUAAACAAAAACCGAUCAAAGAAUACUCAAAAGAAAUAUGACGAAAGGAAAAAGAAUGCCAAAGUCAGCAGCCUCCUGGAGGAGCAGUCACAACACAGCAAGCUUCUUGUCUGCGUUGCCUCAAGACCAGGCCAGUGUGGCAGAGCAGACGGCUAUGUGCUCGGAAGGCAAGGAGCUGGAGUUCUAUCUGCGGAAGAUCAAAGCCCGGAAAGGCAAAUAAACCAUUAUUCACAGCUCGUGUAAUAAAGGUGUUUGCUGUUCUAUAUUAAAAAAAGAAAUGUUGCUCUUACAGAGGACCAGAGUGGCUUACAAGUAUCUUUGUCCUUUUUCUGUCCUCCACAUUCACUUGCACACAUCCACACACAGAUACCCACCAUAAUUAAAAAUAAAAUAAAUUUCUUUCCAAGUUCCCGAAUGUGUACUACUUGCCAGACCCUUGAACACAGCCCUCUGUGUGCAGACAAAGCAUCAGCUUUUGUCAGCUAUGGCUAUUGAACUCGGGAGUUUACUCUGCCAAGACUCAGCAUUUCAUUAUUACCCACAUUUAUUAAAAUAUCUACAUGAUCUGACUGCAAUCAGACUAAGUCAGGUAACAGCAACAGAAAAAAAAAAAAAAAAGAAAAGAAAAGAAAGCCUGUCACUUUAAGAAUUUGUAACGUUGGUCCCAUUAGCAUUCCUCUCUGGUUUUAUGCACUUGGUCUGUGCUGUGGGAUGUAGCAUAAAUUAUCUGCCUUCAGCAAAACGAACAGCUGAAAUGCAGGAUGGCCUGACAGUGCUUGUUAGACCAUUAGCUACUGUGAGUGCUCACUGCGGACUGACUGCCUUUCAGCUGUCUCAAGAAGCCUUUAAGUGAUUCAAAACCUAGAAGUCCAGUAACCCAGUAUCCAAACCAGUCCAGUACUCAACAGCAUGAGAGUUAGGGUUUAAUUAAUAAACAGCCCUCCAAUGGUUAUUUUAAUGUAAAAUAUCACCACAUUCCAACGUCUUUUGUAUUAGUAAAAAGCCAGCCACAGUGAAAAAAAGUGAAGCAAUGUUUUGGUAAAAUCCUUUUAACAGAUCUCUCUCUCUCUCUCUCUCUGUCUUCC